GGGGAUUUAGCUCAGCGGAUUAAGCGCCUGCCUUGCAAGCAGGCAGUCCUGAGUUCAAUCCCUG
rnacentral:tRNA from 1 species